GAUAAUCUUCCCCCGUCCCAAAAUUAUUGUUUUGAAUUUGUCUAGGUAUGGAUGUAUCUAGUCGUGUUUUAGUACCUAAAUGCAUCCAUAUCUAGAAAAAAUCUAAGACACGAAUUUUAGGACGAAUGGGAGAUAAAA
rfam:Hordeum vulgare subsp. vulgare, WGS project CAJW01000000 data, contig: morex_contig_1561162